CACUACGCUAAGUAAUUACUAGUCUGUUUAUGUGUCCCUGUAUAUUUUGCUAAACAUGCAUGCAUUAUUUGUUUAAUAGAAGAAAAUAUAUACAGGGCAAAGACGUGCCUUCCAGGGGAAACGUUUAAAUUAGGUUAGCUUUUGCCUGUGGUAAAGAUGCCGGAAACUGCACCCCACCCCCAUUUUGUGAGAACUACUUUGUCCAAGGAGAGGAGGGAGGUGGAUUGUGCUUUUAAAUGUCUGUGUGCAGAAUAUUUGCCAGAGAAUGCCAAGAGAUUGUUAUUUGGGGUCCCCAAAGCUGUAGUACACCCUUUAACCAUUCCUUGUUAAAGGUAGCUGUUCUCACUAAUGAGUAUCUUUUUCUUUGAACCUUUUUACAGUCAACCCAUGGGGGUGAUGGAGAGAGGGGGCUGUCACAUUUCAUGUCCCUUCACACUGUGUUUUAUAAUGACUGAAAUCUUACUGGGAAGUUUCUAGAGUUCUUUCAGGCCUAGAGACCAGAACUUAUUUUACUGAUUGAGUUACUCUUUUCUUUACUGUCCUAAACUUCAAACUUGUUUCUUCUAUAUUGCAUAUAAAUUUUUGCCCUGAGCAUCAUAGAAAUGAUCUUCCAAAUUUUCUCCCAUCAAGCUGUAGAUCACAGAACAUAAUCUAAAAAGGCUAUAGCUAUAAUUUAAAAUCCUAUUCUAUCCUUUCAAGAAUGGCCAGAAUAUUCUGAAAGUUUACCACACAGGGAGGUCUCCAGUGGUACUUUUAUCCAGUAGCUUCAACAUUGAGUCUUACUCCUACAGUAAGUACAGACUUACUGUACUGUUUUGGUUCUUUUUGGGUCUGGCCAUUUCUGCUCUAUCUUGGGUGGAAAGACUCACUAGACUUUAUGCCUUUUAAUUUGCCUUAAGUUGGAGCCUAAAGUACGGUUGUCUUGCUUGAUGAUAACACCUUUGCUAUUAGACUGAGUGGGUUUGUUCUCUUAAUCCGUUGUUUCUGUUUUGGUGCCUUGGCAGGACAUUUCCUUGGUUCCAUUAUUUUAUAUGUAUGUCUUUUCUGCUUAUGAGUUGACUUAUGUUUUGACUCACUGGUGAGCCAGUUACCCUGUUUCCCCAUUCUUUUGCUGGUUUCUUUAGAGAUUUUCCUUACUGUGCCACUUACCUACCAGGUAGUCUAGUUUUGAUUGGGAAAGCCAUGGCUGUAUAGUAUAUACCUAGACUUUGGUUUUUACAUGCAAUUCUGAACUCCCUACCUUCAUGGACCUUGAUAGGAGCCCCUGAUUUAAUCUGUUCUGGUUUUAAUAGGUCCUUUAUGUAACUUACCUAGCUACUUAUUCCUAGAUCCCCAUCAGUUUGCCCUGGUUCAUCUCCAUUUAGCCCAGAAAGCUGUAGAUCUCUGGCACUGUCUUUGCUCUUCUGCACAGUUCACUGCCUUUCUGCCGUGGUUCCAUCUGGUUGCUUUGAGAUUUUUAGGGGCUUCCCACCAUGGUUAGAUGGAAUAGGGUUUAGUGUCCUUCAGGCUGGUCCUUGCUUUCCACUAGGUUUCUGCCUUUUGCUAGGACUUGAAACAGAUUGUCCUUGCCUCUUUUCCCCACUUAAAAAUAAAUAAAACUUGAGAAGUUAAGGU